rnacentral:rRNA from 1 species
UGAGCAACCUGCCCUUGACUCUGGAAUAACAGCUGGAAACAGCUGCUAAUACCGGAUACGACCUCCGAUGGCAUCAUCUGGAGGUGGAAAGCUCCGACGGUCAAGGAUGGGCUCGCGGCCUAUCAGCUUGUUGGUGAGGUAACGGCUCGCCAAGGCUUCGACGGGUAGCCGGCCUGAGGAGGGCCGACCGGCCACACUGGGACUGAGAUACCGGCCCAGACCU